CAGACACCCCCUGCUAACGAGGCAUUGACCUCGGCCCAGAAGCACUACAUUGUUUGAGCUGCUUAUUUAUUUAUGACUGUUUGAUGUAUAGCAUGCUACUCAUGAUUAAUUCCUUAACACCGACCUUGAUCAAUAUGCAAGAUUAAUGGCAGAUUUACUUUAAUGUUAUUUUUAUUGGAAACAUGGAUGCAGUGCAUUUUUCCCCCUCUCCCCGACACUAGCAACACUUGAUUGAUGUCUGUGCCACAUCAACUCCAGCUUUCUUUUAUUUCCCUGCAUAAUAAUAUUUUUUUUCUUCCUCUCAUGGGCUGAGAAUCUGCCUUUGUGGCACAUUCAAAAUGUCUUGUUAAAAAUUAAAGUGAUUGUAUUCUGCUUUCUAAUGCAAAUGGUGUCUCACACGGCCUGCAAAUGCAUAUGAGGUCCAGAAGACGAAGAGCACGUGACGAUAAGAAUGCAACACAGACACACACCGAAACCCUGAAUAGGCAUGGAGGCAGUGUUAUCAAAAUGUCCCGAUGGCUUUUAGUUUACCUGUCUGUCUUCCUGUCAAUCCAAAAAAAAACAAAAAACAGACAGAGCUUAGUUUAUGGACAAUGUGAGUUUGCUUUGCCGGUUUUGUUUCACUGGCUGUGAAGUUGGACUGCAUGCUGUUGUUAAUCAUAAAACUAAAAAAUCUUUGUAUACUAUUUUAUUUUAUUUUAUUUUAUUUUAUUUUAUUUUAUUUUAUUUUAUUUUAUUUUAUUUUAUUUUAUUUUAUUUUAUUUUAUUUUGAAAAGAUACUGUUUUUAUUUACACCUAAAUUUUAUAAUAUAUUAAACUAUAAAUAUAUAAAGUUUAAUAGGCAUGUUAAUAGUGACUACAGCUAAAAAAAAAAAUUAAAAACAUUUCAUCAAACAUGUAACUAUCCAUGAAAAUUAUUUAAAAGUAAAUACUACACUAAUUAAUUAAUUAUUUUAUUUUAUUUUGUAUGUGUGUGUGUGUGUGUGUGUGUGUGUGUGUGUGUGUGUGUGUGUGUGUGUGAUUAUGUGUGUACAGUACAUAAGCCAGCAUGUGUUUCAUGUAAUAUGUUGACACUUGGCCACAUGUAGGAUUAAAGGAAUAGUUCAUUUCAGGAAUCAUUUUACUCACUCUCAUUUUGUUCAAAACUCUUUUGACUUUCUUUCUUCUGCUAAACACAAAUUAUGAAUUUCUAAAUACAUGGCUGCAUUUUAUCAUAACAUGAAACUGAUUGUGACUCCAUAAUGCAAAAAGCACCAAAACAGCAUCAUAUAAUAGUCUAUGCAACUUACUAUUUUUAAGGGGAAGAUUGUCUUUGAAUAAAAAUUUAAAUUUCCC
ensembl:lncRNA